UUAGAUACCCUGGUAGUCCACGCCGUAAACGAUGAGAACUAAGUGUUGGAGAGAUUCAGUGCUGCAGUUAACGCAAUAAGUUCUCCGCCUGGGGAGUAUGCACGCAAGUGUGAAACUCAAAGGAAUUGACGGGGGCCCGCACAAGCGGUGGAGUAUGUGGUUUAAUUCGAAGCAACGCGAAGAACCUUACCAGGCCUUGACAUGGCGUUAAAUGCCCUAGAGAUAGGGAGAUAGAAAUAAUGCACACAGGUGGUGCAUGGUUGUCGUCAGCUCGUGUCGUGAGAUGUUGGGUUAAGUCCCGCAACGAGCGCAACCCUUGUCGCAUGUUACCAGCAGUAAGAUGGGGACUCAUGCGAGACUGCCGGUGAUAAACCGGAGGAAGGCGGNGAUGACGUCAAAUCAUCAUGCCCCUUAUGGCCUGNGCGACACACGUACUACAAUGGCGACUACAGAGGGAAGCGAGACAGUGAUGUUAAGCGGACCCCANAAAGGUCGUCCCAGUUCGGAUUGAAGUCUGCAACUCGACUUCAUGAAGCCGGAAUCGCUAGUAAUCGCAGAUCAGCAUGCUGCGGUGAAUACGUUCUCGGGCCUUGUACACACCGNCCGUCAAACAUGGAAGUCNGUAAUGCCCGAAGCCGGUGGCAUACCUUAAUAGAGUGAGCCGUCAAAGCANGACUGAUGACUGGGGGUAAAUCGUAACAAGGUA
rnacentral:rRNA from 1 species